rnacentral:rRNA from 2 species
CGGGUGUGGCGGCGUGCUAAUAAUGCAAGUCGAACGAACUCUGGUAUUGAUUGGUGCUUGCAUCAUGAUUUACAUUUGAGUGAGUGGCGAACUGGUGAGUAACACGUGGGAAACCUGCCCAGAAGCGGGGGAUAACACCUGGAAACAGAUGCUAAUACCGCAUAACAACUUGGACCGCAUGGUCCGAGCUUGAAAGAUGGCUUCGGCUAUCACUUUUGGAUGGUCCCGCGGCGUAUUAGCUAGAUGGUGGAGGUUAAUCGGCUCAACCCAAUGGCAAUGAUAUCGUAGCCGACCUGAGAGGGUAAUCGGCCACAUUGGGACUGAGAACACGGCCCAAACUCCUACGGGAGGCAGCAGUAGGGAAUCUUCCACCAAUGGACGAAAGUCUGAUGGAGCAACGCCGCGUGAGUGAAGAAGGGGUUUCGGCUCGUAAAACUCUGUUGUUAAAGAAGAACAUAUCUGAGAGUAACUGUUCAGGUAUUGACGGUAUUUAACCAGAAAGCCACGGCUAACUACGUGCCAGCAGCCGCGGUAAUACGUAGGUGGCAAGCGUUGUCCGGAUUUAUUGGGCGUAAAGCGAGCGCAGGCGGUUUUUUAAGUCUGAUGUGAAAGCCUUCGGCUCAACCGAAGAAGUGCAUCGGAAACUGGGAAACUUGAGUGCAGAAGAGGACAGUGGAACUCCAUGUGUAGCGGUGAAAUGCGUAGAUAUAUGGAAGAACACCAGUGGCGAAGGCGGCUGUCUGGUCUGUAACUGACGCUGAGGCUCGAAAGUAUGGGUAGCAAACAGGAUUAGAUACCCUGGUAGUCCAUACCGUAAACGAUGAAUGCUAAGUGUUGGAGGGUUUCCGCCCUUCAGUGCUGCAGCUAACGCAUUAAGCAUUCCGCCUGGGGAGUACGGCCGCAAGGCUGAAACUCAAAGGAAUUGACGGGGGCCCGCACAAGCGGUGGAGCAUGUGGUUUAAUUCGAAGCUACGCGAAGAACCCUUACCAGGUCUUGACAUACUAUGCAAAUCUAAGAGAUUAGACGUUCCCUUCGGGGACAUGGAUACAGGUGGUGCAUGGUUGUCGUCAGCUCGUGUCGUGAGAUGUGGGGUUAAGUCCCGCAACGAGCGCAACCCUUAUUAUCAGUUGCCAGCAUUAAGUUGGGCACUCUGGUGAGACUGCCGGUGACAAACCGGAGGAGGGUGGGGGAUG